GUGCUCGCUUCGGCAGCACAUAUACUAAAAAUUGGAACCAUACAGAGAAGAUUAGCAUGGCCCCUGCGCAAGGAUGACACGCAAAUUUGUGAAGCGUUCCAUAUUAAA
ensembl:snRNA U6 U6 spliceosomal RNA